rnacentral:tRNA from 1 species
CCAAAGAGUAGUUUAAUUUGAGAAUCCUAGCUUUGGGAGCUAGGG